rnacentral:sRNA from 1 species
GCCGGGUGUGGUGGCGCACGCCUGUAAUCCCAGCUACUCAGGAGGCUAAGGCAGGAGAAUCGCUUGAACCCGGGAGGCAGAGGUUGCAGUGAGCCGAGAUUGUGCCACUGCACUCCAGCCUGGGCAACAGAGCAAGACUCUGUCUCAA